rnacentral:rRNA from 1 species
CAAUAGCGUAUAUUAAAGUUGUUGCAGUUAAAAAGCUCGUAGUUGGAUUUCUGGUAGGAGUGACCGUUCCGAACUUGAUUGUUCGUGUAUUGUGUUUUCUCCAGCCAUCCUUGUGGAGAACUUUUCUUGCAUUAAUUUGUAGGGAUUGGGACCCGCAUCGUUUACUGUGAAAAAAUUAGAGUGUUUAAAGCAGGCAAUCGCUUGAAUACAUUAGCAUGGAAUAAUAGGAUAGGACUUUGGUACUAUUUUGUUGGUUUGCAUACCAAAUUAAUGAUCAACAGGAACAGUUUGAGGAUAUUCGUAUGAACAUGUCAGAGGUGAAAUUCUUGGAUUUUGAUCAGACGAACUACUGCGAAAGCAUUUAUCAAGGAUGUUUUCAUUAA